rnacentral:snoRNA from 1 species
GUGAAUGAUGAUAAUUUUACCCAAAUAUUUUUGGCUAGCCUUCGGGCGAUGUUGUCAAUACUUAAUACCAUCUUUCGGGACUGAUC